ACCCGCGGUAAUUCCAGCUCCAAUAGCGUAUAUUAAAGCUGUUGCAGUUAGAACGCUCGUAGUCGGAUUUCGGGGCGGGCCGACCGGUCUGCCGAUGGGUACGCACUGGCCGGCGCGUCCUUCCUUCCGGAGACCGUGCCUACUCUUAACUGAGCGGGGGCGGGAGACGGAUCGUUUGCUUUGAAAAAAUCAGAGUGUUUCAAGCAGGCAGCUCGCUCUUGCAUGGAUUAGCAUGGGAUAAUGAAAUAGGACUUUGGUGCUAUUUUGUUGGUUUCGAACACCGAAGUAAUGAUUAAAAGGGACAGUCAGGGGCACUCGUAUUCCGCCGAGAGAGGUGAAAUUCUCAGACCAGCGGAAGACGAACCACUGCGAAAGCAUUUGCCAGGGAUGUUUUCAUUGAUCAAGAACGAAAGU
rnacentral:rRNA from 1 species